rnacentral:rRNA from 1 species
CGUAGGGUGCGAGCGUUAAUCGGAAUUACUGGGCGUAAAGCGUGCGCUAGGCGGUUUUGUAAGACAGGCGUGAAAUCCCCGGGCUCAACCUGGGAACUGCGCUUGUGACUGCAAGGCUAGAGUACGGCAGAGGGGGGUGGAAUUCCACGUGUAGCAGUGAAAUGUGUAGAGAUGUGGAGGAACACCAAUGGCGAAGGCAGCCCCCUGGGUCGAUACUGACGCUCAUGCACGGAAGCGUGGGUAGCAAACAGGAUUAGAUACCCUGGUAGUCCACGCCCUAAACGAUGUCAACUAGGUGUUGGGUGGGUAAAACCAUUUAGUACCGGAGCUAACGCGUGAAGUUGACCGCCUGGGGAGUACGGCCGCAAGGUUA